AACGUAGGUGGCAAGCGUUAUCCGGAAUUACUGGGCGUAAAGGGUGUGCAGGCGGGGAAGCAAGUGGUGUAUGAAAUAUCCCAGCUUAACUGGGAGGGGUUAUGCCAGACUGCUUUUCUAGAGGACGAGAGAGGGGGGUGGAAUUCCGGGUGUAGUGGUGAAAUGCGUAGAGAUCCGGAGGAACCCCAGAGGCGAAGGCGGGCCCCCUGGCUCGUACCUGACGCUCAGCCACGAAAGCAUGGGGAGCGAACGGG
rnacentral:rRNA from 1 species